rfam:Schistosoma mansoni, Puerto Rico, WGS project CABG01000000 data, contig: 0228
AUCCCGCUGAUGAGUCCCGAACAGGACGAAAUGAGCGUCCUGGAU